GGCGGAGCAGCUCGGCCGCCGGAGACGGUCUGUGAAGACUGACUGACAUGAAGGUUGAGAUGAGAAUUUCAAGAUGAAUUACAAAAUAGGAAAGAAGGAAGAAAGGAGGAAAGGAGAAAGGGAGGAAAGAAAGGAGGGAAGAAAGAAAAAAGACUUUGAGAUACAUAAUUGCUAGAAGUGAGAUAAAUAUUUAGCUUUUGCAUACACAAAUGUACUCGUCAAAUAACACAUCAGAUGUGAUUCCUCGAAAUAAACCGAACGCAAAGGCCGUACGAAAAUAGCCGAUCUUUAAAGGUGAGAAAUACUCGAUCAUUCUAUUUCAGCU
rnacentral:lncRNA from 1 species